GACGAGGGGUCCUAGCGUUGUUCGGAAUCACUGGGCGUAAAGCGCAUGUAGGCGGCUUUUCAAGUCAGAUGUGAAAGCCCAUGGCUUAACCAUGGAAGUGCAUUUGAAACUGUAAAGCUUGAGUAUUGGAGAGGAUGGUAGAAUUCCUGGUGUAGUGGUGAAAUACGUAGAUAUCAGGAGGAAUACCGGUGGCGAAGGCGGCCAUCUGGCCAAAUACUGACGCUGAGAUGCGAAAGUGUGGGGAUCAAACAGG
rnacentral:rRNA from 1 species